rnacentral:lncRNA from 1 species
AAAAUUUAAAAGCGAAAUAAUAUAUAUUUUUUUUACGUAAACUUUGAACUAAUACAGAAACUAAAUCAAAGACUGAGGUAGGAGAUUUAAGGAAAGAUAAGUGACGAAAUUUUAUUUUUAUUUUUUUCUAAAGAGCUAAUAAUACUAAACAACUUGUAUAAACAAGACUGCAGCAAACUAGGGUCCUUAAUUUUUUUUUUUUUGAAACUUAAAUAAAAGAAAACUAGAAAUCAAAACUAUAGAAAGAAAAUGGAAAAGAUAAACCUGGCAAGGGAAGAGCGUGAACUGUGCUCUGAUACCAAAUGAUACAAGACUCUGUAGUGAGCUUAUACUAGGAUAGAGAUGAUGUACUCACAAGAUGGCGGUCGCUUCUCUCUUGUGAAGGAAAUAUGGUCGUUGAUGUAGAUUUGACACGAUGGCGGUCGCUUCUCUCGUAUGGGAUCAAUUGGAGGGGAAGUUCUGGCGGAUUGAAGUACACCACAGAGAUGUGAUUGGUCUCUGAUACAGUACACGAACUCAGACUUGUGGAAUCACACACACAAGACAAAGAACACGUUUUUCUGUUAAGAACACUUAAGGAGAAAAAGAAAAAAAAUUCGUCGUUUUUAUUAAUAAUCAAAUGUAAAGAAUCGUAGAACUGCUGCAGGGUGACUUUAUAAGAGUCCUUCAGCUAGCCCUAGGGCCAAACAUAAAUGCAAAAAUACAAAAGGAAACAAAUAAAAAGCAAACACAAAACCCAUUGUUUUUGGAAAGAAAAUGACAAAAUAAAGAAACUAAUUGUGCACACUUGAACUCACUUGAAGGGCAUGUAUUCUAGCUGUUGUUGGGGGCUGUUGGACCUGCAAAGAUAUAAUAUAUUUAAUAGAACUUACCUAUGUGCGGUUUAGGCCUAAUCGAGGUUUUCUGAACUACAUCAUGUACUACUCGCUGAUCUACUUCAAGGAGUCUUGUGAGGUGCCCGUUUGUUUGUUGGCUUUUUGAAGUAGAUGGCUUCUUGGAGUUUGUCUUGGGUAGCUUGAUCAAUCUCUUGAAGCUCUUCUAAGCCCUUCAAUGUCUUGUUCUUGAUCUUCAAUCUCUCGAUCACUCUCAAAGGUGAAGCUUGUUUUGAUCGUCUCUUAUAACUCCAUUGUCUUCGCUUGGAUUCUAGAGGUUUCUUGACCUGUCAAAGGAGAAUUCAUACCUGGGGAAAUAGUAUGUUCAAGACUCAUUUGGAUGAAUGCUUCAUCAAGCUCUUCCUCGGCGAUGGGAUCAUAUUCGUUGUGAUGGAGUAAAGGUGGUACAGAGCAGUUGACGUCAUUCAGCUCUAUUGAGCUCACAAUGUCUUGUACAGCUAAGUUGAAUCUCUUUCUAAGCUGUGUACACUUUAAACGAGUCAUGGGACCUUAUAGGGUGUGGUACAUGAUCUUGUACAUGAUCUAGUUCAGCAGGUUGGACAUGAUAAUUAAUGUCCGAUCAGCUUGCCCAGAGACGGUACUAGUGUGGCUGGAAACCUAGUUGGGGGUGUUCCAGCAAGUGGGACCCAAGGUCAGAAUUAUCAGCUUGCGGAUCUGCUGACGUAGCUUUUGGAGCAGUUACAUGGAGCGGUACUAGCGCAGGCUCCAGUUGGACCGCCAAGGGUGGCGAGAGUGCAGCAUGUUGAGCCAGCUGGGCUUGGUUUGCAACCAGGUGGGCCCAGUGUGCAGCCCGGUGUCGGGGUUGUACAGCCAGAAGAGAUAUGUGCGGUUGUCGAGCAGCUGUACUGUCGGCGGAUAAUGGAGCAGGUACAGAGUUUCAGGAUGUCCAUGCUCUUCAGGGGUUUCGAUCCUGCUGUAGCGGAUGAGUUGUGGGUGAGAUUGGAACAGUACUUCCAGUCGAUGAGAUGUCCGGAGGCGUACAGGGCAUACCUAGCGGCUCACUACUUGGUCGGUGAUGCACACUUGUGGUGGAGGAGUGAUAAGUCUGUAUUUCAUCGCUUUUUGAGCAUGCAUUCAUCAUCUUUUCAGCAUCAUUCACUUGUUGAUUCGUAUCAUAUUGAUCCCUUUCUGCAUGUUUUACAUACUUAGGUAGGUUUUAUGCAUAUCAUGCAUAUCUUGCAUACAUUGUGCAUAUUUGGAGUGUUUCAGGUACUUAGGAGACAUGCAGAGCGAAGUAGAGGAACAAGUGUUACUCGACGUGCACACGAUCGAGUGGGACGAUCGAGUGAGAAGCAAGGAUGAAUUGCAGUUACAUCGACGAUCGAGUGAGCAGCAGACGUAUACGAUCGAGUAGCAGAUCGAGCAGAAGGGAAGCGAAGCAGAACCACCUGUCACUCGAUGCUCUCACUCGAGUGACAUGAUCGAGCAAAGCAAAGAAGUAGCUGAUGGUUUCACAGGUCACUCGACACGAUCACUCGAGGAACACGGUCGAGUAUGAAAUGAUGCAGAGAAGAAAUUAAGUGUUACUCGACACGCUCACUCGACCGACAUGACCAUUACAACUUUUAAACCGCUUUUACGUUGUCGUUUUAUGUUUUAAGGUUUUCCCAAACAUUGUUAUAAAUAGGUCUCAUUUGGAUUGCCCAAGGGAUCAAGUUUAUUUUUAUUAGGUUUUUGUUGUUAGCCACCAAACGAUCCUGAGAAUUGUAAUCGUGAUUUCUUUGGAGUUAUUGAUAUUUUGCAGUUAGUUCUUGAAUCAUUGUUGUUACUCUUCCUGUCAUCUUUAUUAUUAUGCAUGUUUUGAACGAUUCUUGUUUCAUGAUGUUUAACAUGAUUUCUGCGUUUGAGUAGUGUUAGGGUUCUUGAGGAUGGGAUAGAUUAGGUGGAGGAUGUUAGUUUGCUAGAGUGUUUAUGUUAGAUUCGUUUUGUUUCCCUUCUGGACUAGAGUUUUAUUAGCUAGUUCUUCUCUGAUCAAUUGGAACUGGGUCAUAGACAUUUCAUACCCGAAAGGUAUAUGAUGAAAUGUCUGAACCAACUAGUGCCAGAGAUUUACAUGCUUAGCCCAAGAGAUUGGUUGUCUAAGAUGUUUAUUGACAUUAAUGAGCUGUUUCUUUAUGCCUGCUUACUACAUGUUUCAUCAAUGAGAAUUGAGAUUAGGAAGUGUUGUAAACUUGAUAGUUUCUGCCAAGAGAUUGGAUUGACUAGUAUUAGAAGUUCAUUGUCUAGGGAUUAGAAUGUUUGCAGUUUGAUAAACACUCGAAGUAGAUUAGCAUACUCCACCUACAUCAAUAACCUCAUCCUCGGGAUCUUCUAUCCAUUUGUGCUUUCUGUUUAAUUCUCUUGUUAUUUACUUGGUCUGCUUUGUUUUCUUGCCAGUAUCAAUAAUCGUUACGUUUUAGUUUAUGCAUGGUAGUCUAUGUUUUACAGCUUUACAUUUAUCGCAUGUUUAACAUGUUCGCUUAGGAUGACUGAAAACCAUAAAUCAUUUAUGCUUGCUUGACUUAAUCCUUUCUGAUAUAUCUUGAUUGCUAGCAUCACACCUGAUUGGAUUGAUACCUAUUGUACUGCAAUGACAUGAUAGUACUCUAGGGUAAUUGAUAGAAAAAUCCUAGUAUCAAGGAGUGUGCUGGCCAGGAGGGAGUAGGGAUUGAUGGUGUGGGGGACUUCUAAGCAGAGUUUAAUGCUAAGUAUUUCCCGCCGGAGGCAUUGGACCGAAUAAAGUUGCAGUUUCUGGCGUUGACUCAAGGUGAGCGGCCAAUGCGGGAGUACAACUCGGAGUUUAGCACAUACUUGAUGUACUCAGGUCGUGUGGGAUAUCCGGAGCAGAUGUAGGUGCAUCGGUUCAUGAAGAGCUCAACCACGACAUGAGGGUGCGAUGGAAGAUGCGAACAACCGCAUUGCGUGAGGAGCUCGUCGAGGUGGCAGCGGGUGUUGAGGACAAGCUGAGGAGUUUUGAUGGUGGUUCCUAGUUCGUCGACACAGCAGAAGAUGGCCUAGCCGUAGUCGGUUCCGAGUAAGGGCGGCAAGCCUGCUCAGGGACAGAAGAGGAAGUGGAUGAUGCGUCGGGUGUAGGAGCAUGGAUCACAAGCUGGCAAGCUGUCCGAAAAAGAGCAAGACGCGUGUGGAGACUCGUGUCUGUUUCCACUUCAAGGAGACGGGGCACAUCAAGGCGAGCUGUCCUAAGACGCAGUAGAUGACAGUAGCGGCUAUGCAGUUGUUGGAGUAGUGGGUGCAGCCUAGAGUGCAGCCUAUGGCUCAGUUGGGAGUGCCGUUAAUGGCGCAGAUCGAGGAAUGCGGGUCUACUUGGUGGUGGAGAUGGGAGAGCCAGGCACCGUUCUAUCGAUCACAUAUUUAAUUCUAAGACUCAGUCUAUUCCGUUAUGUCGUUUUAGAAUUAUUUUCGGUGAUUGUGGGGUUUUGGGUUCUUAGCGUAAGGGUUUGUGUAGGGACCCGAUUAGUGGGCGGGUUCUUGUCCCAUGUGUUGUUUUAUUCUGGAUCUACAAAUAAAUUCAUUACCACAGAGUGCGUGGCGGGUGGUAACAUCCAAGGAGAUCUUGGUGGUUAUUUUGGAGCUGUUAGAGUCGCAUGAGGCGCGUUGCUAGCGGUUCAAGGACAUGUUAGUGGUGUGGAUGUGCAGAUUGUAGGAGAGUCGAUGAUGGCAAAUCUAUACAUCAAUCCGGUGGAGCUGUAUGAUCUCAUUCUAGGCAUGGAUUGGUUGGAUCGGCAUAGAGUUCAUCUUGAUUAUCAUCGGGGGAGAGUCUACUAUGAGCGGCCUGGGCCGAAGUUGUAUUACUAGGUUGUGAGAGCGAUUUCGGGGAGUCUUGUAAUUUCGGCAAUGUAAGCGGAGAAAAUGAUUAAGAAGGGUGGAAAGCCUACUUGGCUACGGUCGAAGAGGGAGCGGUGAGUCAUAUCCGGGUGGUACAGGAGUUGGAGGACGUGUUUCAGUCGUUGAAGGGGUUACAAUUGAGUUAGAACCUGAGAUAACGCUGAUGUCUAAGGCUCAAUACUGGAUGGCUCUAGUAGAGAUGGCUGAGCUGAAAAAGCAGUUAGAGUAUUUGCAAAGUACGGGUUUCAUCGGUCCUAGUGUUUCAUCGUGUGCAGCACCAGUGCUGUUUGUUGUGAAGAAGGAUAAGAGUUUCCGGCUUUGCAUCGAUUACCAGGGAUUCAACUGAGUCACGGUUAAGAACAAGUAUCCUCUACCGCGGAUUGAUGAGCUGUUGGACCAGUUUAGUGGAGCUACAUGGUUUUCUAAGAUUGAUUUGGCUUCAAGGUACCAUUAGAUUCCUAUUGACAGCGUUUAGGACGAGAUAUGGGCAUUAUGAGUUCGUGGUGAUGCCUUUCAGAUUGACAAAUGCACCAGCGGCGUUCAUGAGGCUGAUGAACAGUGUGUUAUAGGCGUUUCUGGAUGAGUUCAUUAUCAUCUUCAUCGACGAUAUCCUGGUGUAUUCUAAGAGUCUUGAGGAUCACGAGAUGCACUUGAGGGCAGUUUUCGAGAAGUUACGGGAGUAAAAGAUGUAUGCUAAGCUGAGCAAGUGAAGUUUCUAACAGAGAGAGAUGGGUAUUCAGGGUCACAUUGUGUCUGCAGAGGGAGUUUCUGUGGAUCCGGAGAAGAUCGAGGAUAUCAGAGAUUGGCCAAGACGGUUCGUGAAGGGUUUUGCAAGCACAAGUCAACCAAUGACCAACCUGACGAGGAAGGAUGUUCUUUUUGUGUAGACUUCUGAGUGUGAGCAGGGUUUUGCUAAGCUCAAGGAGAUGUUGACGAGUACGCCAGUCUUAGCUCUACAAAAGGUGGGGGAGCCGUAUGUGGUGUACACAGAUGCCUAGGGAGUUGGUUUGGGUUGUGUGUUGAUGCAGCAGGGUAAGGUGAUUGCAUAUACUUUGCCGUAGUUAGAGAAGCAUGAGGGCAAUUACCCUACUCAUGACUUGGAGAUGGCGGCGGGAGUCUUCGCUCUGAAGAUUUGGCGAUCCUAUCUGUUUGGGACGAAGGUUCAGGUGUUUACAAAUCAUAAUAGCCUGAUGUACAUAUGCACGUAGCCUGAGUUGAAUUUGAGAUAGAGGCGGUGGAUGGAGUUGGUUGCAGACUAUGACAUGGAGAUAGAUUACCAUCCCAGUAAGGCUAAUCUGGUUGCAGAUGCCUUGGUGAGAAAAAUUAGCACUCUGUAGUUGUGUGCUUGAUUCUUCACAUUUUCUGGAUUUGUUUGUAUAAUUGAACCUUGUGUUCUUAUUUUCUGGGAUUAUUUUCAAGAUUGUUCUUGGUGUUCUUCUUUUCUAGGUUACUAAUCUACUAAAUUUGAGUUUUGAGUUUCUCAUUCCCAGGAAACAAAGAUGUCUUCAAGGAUUCCUCAACCCAGAAGGAAGAGCCUCUCAAGAUCACAACGAGAAGCUCAUCACAGCCAAUCCGCUGAAGAAAUUGCAAGAAAUUUCUUGACAAUCCAAGCCACUGGAGCCGGACUCGAUCGGGUCAGAAGUGUGAGAAGAGAAGCCCGACCUCAAACCCGAUCACCCGAUCGGGCCAAUCGAUCGGGUCAGACCCUCCCAAUUUCCAGAGAAGAAGUUUCGAUAGGGAAAAGGCCUGCAGAAGAAGAUGUCGAUUAACCGAUGGUGGAUAUAGAGCCUAGGAGGGUAGUGGCACCGAGGAAGACCAAGAACUUACCCCCUCCAGAAGAGCUAUACGCAAUGUUUAGGCGCCAAAAGUUCGUUGGAACUCGCUAUCCUCACCGGCAAACGAUGAAGGAGCUGGGCAUAGCAUGAGAUGUUGAGUUUCUGUUCGAGAGAAGCGGGCUCGGUUCAUUCAUGACCAGGAACUUAGAAGCCUACGACGAGGAGACGUGCUACGUGUUAGCCUCACUCCAGCUCCAUUUCUACGAGGAUAAAUCCAAGUUUCACUCGGAUGACUGCCUUGGAUACAUCACCUUCAGCGUGAGAGGUACUACCUAUUCUCUCACGUUUAAGGAAGUUGAAAAGCUCUAUGAGUUUUUGCAAGGAAGCAGGAUGAGCCAAUAUGUGCUAAAGGUGGAGAUCAAAUCUGUUUGGAAAACCAUUGGAGAUGGGAAAGAAUAAACUUCUUCGAAAUCCAAGAGCGCCCAAAUCCGAAAUCCAGUUGUGAGGUAUUUCCAUAAGUCCUUGGCUAAUACGAUUUUUGCUAGAAAGGAAACCGGGAAUGUGAAUGAGAGUGAGAUCCAGCUGAUAGACAUAGCAUUGAGUGGUGUAUUGCCAAGUACUAGGGAUGGUAGAGAACUAGUAGGAGAUAGAACAUAUGGUAGCAUGGUCUCGGUCCUGUUAGACCAGCUGAUGUAUUGCUAGGAUUGGGUAUUAAAGGCUGUUAGGAGAGGUGUGCAAGGAGAUCUCAGUAUUGGUGGACUAGUCACCCCCUUAUUAGUAGCUUGUGAUGUUGAAUUGCGGGGGAGGGUCUACAACGUUCGCUGGAUUGACAUUGAGACCUUGACAAGGACACACUUCCUUGAUAGCGAGCGUCCCAACGAAUUUUACCUAUAUAAGUUUACUCACCCUUCACUUGGAGCAGCAAGAAUGGUGUUGCCUAACACUGAGCUUACAAAGAUCAGAUUGGGUGCUAAUAUCAACUUUUGGCCACUAGUCUCGGCAUUAUAUGACCCGAACUCGGUCCAAGACCAAGUUCGUAGCUUCGAGCCAGUUAAACAAACCUAUGCACCUGAAAUCAAAGAAGAAGAACCUGCUAGGGAAGAACAGGAAGAGGAUUUCUAUUUUGACGAGUGGGAAGAGUCCUCUAGGCAGUUAAGGGGGGUAAAGGAAGCUCAUAAAAAGAUUAGGAUCCUUCAGAAGUGGAACAAGUUCCAAAGCAAGACUAUCAAGGCAUUGAAGAACACUGUGAAGGAUCUUGCCGGAAUAGUUAAGGAUAUGGGGGAGCAGAUUAAGGAGCUUCAGAACAAGAUUGGAUGCUCAACCUCCACUACAGCCAUGCCUAGUAGUUUGGGUAGGAGUGCAUCACUCAGAAACACCUACCAAGUCCAACCUACCAGCUAGCCUGCCCAGAGCCUCAUUUGAUCCAAGGAGAAGUCUGUUCAGAACCAGAAGAUAACCGGGAGCUGACACGAGUACCUCACCCGAUCGCACACCCGAUCGUGCCUGCUCAUCACGCCCGGUUGGGUCAACCUCACCUCGCAGUCGACCCUGACAACGUCCAGGACGAGCAUGUAGCAGCGAACCUCGACGUAAUGAGCUCGUGGUUUGGACCAUCCAAGAGGUUAUUCUAUUACCCUCACCUUUGUAAAUACAACCUUGCAUUUUUAUAUUUUCUUUUUUAUUCUAAGUCUUCUUUUAGAUUUUUAUUACACAAGAGACUGUGUAAUUUAAGUUUGGGGGAGAGCUUAGGAUAGCAUUUGACAUGUUUUCUAUUUUCUUAUUUCGAAUUUUUAGCAUCUAGUCUUGCAUUCAUCUAUGUGCAUCAAAAACCCCUAAAAAUUUGAAAAAUCUCAGAAAAUCCUUUAAAAACAGAGUGUUCAUAUAGUUGCAUUUGCAUAUUAGUCUUGCUUUAGGGAUGUUGCAUUUAGGAUCAUUGCAUUAGCAUAGGGGAUUAUGAUGAUUAUAACCAAGGAACUUGCUGUUUCAUUAGAUUUAGCACCAAUGCCCUCGUUCAUAGUUGUUUAAUGCUUUCAUUUGAGCCUGAAAUGAUACCGCACCAUUCUUUGAUCGCAUGAUUUGAAUUCUAGUCUAAACUGAAGCUUGCUUUGAUAUGAUGCCAUCCUUUACUUAUAAGAACCUUAACUUGAAUUGAUAAUUAUCUGAUUGUGAUUUGUUUUAAACUCAUGGAUACCUUGCAUACAUACUUGGAUCUUCUUUCCCUCUUUUUACCACUCUCUUGUUGAUCCAAGUAGCUGGUCAUAACCUUGACCAGUUAACCACACCCUAAAAACCUUAACCUUUCCUUCAAGCCUUUGUUUUAAUUCUAAGUGGAAGGCCUAUUUUUUUGGCUUGAGCUUUAAGAGAACGUGUUAAGUUUGAGCCGACAGGAAUAUGGUCUUGCGUAGUUCUGAUUUGCAUCUUUCGGAUCAGAUAAGACUAGGAUGGAUUCUACUUGGGUUUUGGGAUUUGUUGGGAUGAUGAAAAGAAAACAAAAGAAAAGAAUAAAGGAAUGAGUUGAGUCUUUAGGAGAGUAAAAAGUUUCAGAAAAGUUCAAGGUUCUAGUGAAAGAUAAGUGGGGAAUGAAAAGUAUAGAAAAUAAAUGGUUGUGGUUUUAUUAAACGAAAGAGAGAAAAGUGUGAAGAUAGCAAAAUGCUUUGAUGUCUUAAGUGUUAAGAAGAAAGAGAACCAUAGUGUAUAGUGUUUAUAAAGAAAACCCCCUAUCCACUAGUUUGAUAAUAAAUCUAUAUGAACACUCUGCUUUUUAAGGAUUUUCUGAAAUUUUUCAAAUUUUUAGGGGUUUUUGAUACACAUAGAUGAAUGCAAGACUAGAUGCUAAAAAUUCAAAAUAAGAAAAUAGAAAACAUGUCAAAUGCUAUCCUAAGUUUUCUCCCAAACUUAAAUUACACAGUCCUUUGUGUAAUAAAAAUCUGAAGGAAGACAUAGGAUAAAAAAGAAAAUAUAAAAAUGCAAGGCUGUAUUUACAAAGGUGAGGGUAAUAGAAUUACCUCUUGGGAGGUCCAAACCACGAGCUCAUGACGUCGAGGUUCGCUGCUACAUGCUCGUCCUGGACGUUGUCAGCGUCGACUGCGAGGUGAUAGGUUGACCCGACCGGGCGCGAUGACCCGGCCCGAUCGGGUGAGGUGCUCGUGUCAGCUCCCGGUUCUCUUCUGAUUCUGAACAGACUUCUCCUUGGAUCAAAUGAGGCUCUGGGCGGGCUAACUAGUAGGUUGGACUUGGUAGGUGUUCUGACUGAUGCACUCCUACCCAAACCACUAGGCAUGGCUGUAGUGGAGGUUGAGCAUCCAAUCUUGUUCUGAAGCUCCUUAAUCUGCUCCCCCAUAUCCCUAACUGUUCCGGCAAGAUCCUUCAAAGUGUUCUUCAAUGCCUUGAUAGUCUUGCUUUGGAACUUGUUCCACUUCUGAAGGAUACUAAUCUUUUUAUGAUCUUCCUUUACCCCCCUUGACUGCCUAGAGGACUCUUCCCACUCGUCAAAAUAGAAAUGCUCUUCAUGUUCUUCCCUAGCAGGUUCUUCUUCUCUGAUUUCAGGUGCAUAGGUUUAUUGGGCUGCCUCGAAGCUAGUAACUUGGUCUUGGAUUGAGUUCGGGUCAUAUAAUCCCGAGACUGGUGGCCAAAAGUCGAUAUUAGCACCCAAUCUGAUCUUUGUAAGCUCGGUGUUAGGCAACACCAUUCUUGCUGCUCCAACUGAAGGGUGAGUGAACUUAUACAGGUAAAACCCAUUGGGACGCUCGCUAUCAAGGAAGUGUGUCCUUGUCAAGGUCUCAAUGUCAAUCCAGCGAGCGUUGUAGACUUUCCCCCGCAAUUCAACAUCACAAGCUACUAAUAAGGGGGUGACUAGUCCACUAAUACUGAGCUCUCCUUGCACACCUCUCCUGAUGCGGACAUCGAUUAUCAUGUCCAACCCGCUGAACUAGAUCAAGCACCAGAUCCUAUACCAUACCCUGUACCAGUCGUCCCAGUAGGUCCCAUGACUCGUUCAAAGUCUAAACAACUUAGAAAGAGGUUCAAUCUAGCUGUACAAGACAUUGUGAGCUCACUAGAGCUGAACUACGUCAACUGGUCUGUACCACCGUUACUCCAUCACGACGGAUAUGAUCCCAUCGCCGAGGAAGAGCUUGCUGAAGCAUUCACCCAAAUGAGUGUUGAACAUACCAUUUCCCCAGGUAUGAACUCUCCUUUGACAGGUCAAGAACCCUAUAGAAUCCAAGAGAAGACAAUGGAGUCACAAGAGACGAGCAAAACAAGCUUCACCUUCGAGAGUGAAGAUCAAGAACAAGACAUCAAGGACUUGGAAGAGCUUCAAGAGACUGAUCAAGCUACCCAAGAGAAACUCCAAGAAACCAUCUACUUCAAGAAACCAACAAACAAACAUGCACCUGACAAGACCCCUGAAGUAGAUCAAGACGUAGUUCAGAGAACAUCGAUUGGGCCUAGAUCACAUCCAGGUAAGUUCUAUUCAGUAUUUUCGAUAUUUGCAGGUCCACUAAUCCCCAACAACGGCUAGAAUACGUUCCCUUCAAGUGAGUUUAAGUGUGCACAAUUAGUUUCUUUAUUUUGUCAUUUUCUUUCCAAAAAACAAUGGGUUUUGUGUUUGCUUUUUAUUUGUUUCCUUUUGUAUUUCUUUGCAUUUAUUUUUGGCCCUAGGGCUAGCUGAUGGACUCUUAUAAAGUCCCCCUGCAGCAGUUGUACGAUUUUUCACCCUUGAUUAUCAAUAAAGAACCGAACUUUCUUCACUUCUUCUCUUUAAGUGUUCUUAAGAGAAUAAGCUUGUUCUUUGUCUUGUGUGUGUGAUUCCACAAGGCUAAGAUCAUGUACUGUAUCAGAGACCAAUCACAUCUCUAUGGUGUACUUCAAUUCGCCAGCACUUCCCCUUCAUUCAAUCCCACACGAGAGAAGCGACCGCCAUCGUGUCAGAUCUACAUCAACGACCAUCUUUCCUACACAAGAGAGAAGCGACCGCCAUCUUGUGUAGCCAUCAUAUCUAUCCUGAUACAAGCUCACCACCGAGUCUUGUAUCAUCUCGUAUCAGAGCAUCACGCUCUUCCCUUGCCAGGUUUACAUUUUCCAUCUUCUUUUGAUAGUUUUGAAUUCUAGUUUUGUUUUAUUUUUCAAAAAAAUAAAAAUUUAAAAACCCUAGUUUGCUGCAGCCUUGUUUCUGUAGGUUGUUUAGUUUUAUUUUCCUUAACAAAAAAAAAUAAAAAAUUGUCACUAUUCUUUCCUUAAAUCGUCUGCUUUAGUCUUUGAUUUAGUUUCUGUAUUAGUUCAAGGUUUUCAUCAAAAAAAAUAAUAUAUAUUUCGUUUUUAAAUUUUUGCGUCAUUAUCUUUGUUAGCUAGUAUUAUUUAAGUAUCUUAAAGCUUAUUUAAAUUAUAUAAAAAAAAAAGUUUUCAUUUUCUUGUCUAAUUCAGCACGUGCAUCAGUUUCUCGUUUCUAAAGUUUUCAUUUUCGAUUUCUGUGGAACGUUGAUUUCUUUGUUGUUUUUGUCUAAGUGCAGGAUAAUUUUUAGACACUCACAAUGGGAGAACACGCAGCCAUACCACAAGAUGCCAUGAUACAAAUGAUGCAAACCCUAUCGAAACAACUAGAAGGGUUUGGCGAAAGGAUAGGUCGUUUGGAGCAGCCUCAGCCUAGAGCUGAAGCUGAACCAGUUCAGAUUCGAAGGAAUGCCCGUGAAGAGGAAGAAUACUCCCUUGACCUGGAUGACGACGAUGAUCCACCACCUGAUCCAUUAAUGCGUCAACAUCAGCGGAGAGAAGAUCCCUUGAUGAGGAACCGUGCCCGAGAGAUGGACACCCGUGAACAAAACCGAGAUGUUAAACUAACACCUCCUACUUUUGCAGGAAAAUCAAAUCCAGAGUUUUACAUGGAUUGGGAGAAGAGGAUGGAAUACAUAUUCCAAUGUUAUGGAUAUGGAGAAUCCCGAAAAGUAGCCUUAGCAUCGGCACAACUCAUCGACAACGCCUUAUCUUGGUGGGAUAGGACAGUGGCCGAAAGGAGGAGGCAAAGAUUUGCUCCCAUCAAAAAUUGGGAAGACAUGAAGUACCUCUUAAGGUUGAGGUAUGUUCCUGAUCACUAUCACAGAGACUUACAAAAACGUUUUAGAAAAUUGUCUCAGGGAACAAGGACCGUGGACGAGUAUUUUGAGGAGUUUGAGAAGCUCAUGAACUCUUUGGAGUUAGAAGAAUCCAGCGAGUCAUUGAUGGCUCAAUUCAUUGACGGGUUGCAAGAGCGUAUAGCCCGAAAAGUGGAGACGUCCAACUAUAGCAGCCUACAUUAACUACUUCACAAGGCUGUACAAGUGGAGCAAUAAAUGAAGCGUAAGAUGUCUCUGAGCAAUCGUACCAGGAGUAGUACACCUUGGAACGCAAGUAACAACCAAGGCAUGGACAAAGGCAAAGCUAUAGACAACGAUUCUCGAUUCAAGAAUAAGUCUAGUGAAGCGCCUAAGAUCACCAAGCCUGAACCAGGUAAGUUUCCUAGCACUAGUCAAUCUCGUACCCGUGACAUUACUUGUUUUAAAUGUCAAGGUAGAGGACACAUGGCGAGAGAGUGUCCGAACCAACGUGUGAUGAUACUCACUCCUAGUGGAGACUACGACUCUCAAGAUGAGCAAGAUGAGAACCUGAAUGAUCCAGAGGAAGAUGUGGAGUAUCUUGAUGUAGGAGAACUCCUUGUGAUCCGACGUAUGAUGAGCGUGUAUAUCAACCCCGAGGAGAAAGUUCAAAGAGAAAAUAUCUUUCACACUCGGUGCACAAUCAAUAACAAGGUAUGUAAUUUGGUUAUUGAUGGAGGUUCUUGCACUAAUGUUGCUAGCAAGUAUAUGGUAGACAGGUUAGGUCUUCAAAAGAGAAAGCAUUCGAGACCAUACAAACUUAGGUGGCUGAACGAUGAUGCUGAGCUAAAGAUUGCUGAACAAGUGACUGUAUCAUUCAGCGUUGGAAAAUAUCAGGACCAAGUUAUUUGUGAUGUAGUUCCAAGAGCCGGACAUCUUCUCCUUGGAAGACCAUGGCAGUUUGAUCGAGCUACUAAUCAUGAUGGUCGCACAAACCACUACUCUUUCACCCACAAUGACCGUAAGUUUAACCUUGCCCCUCUAAGUCCAUCAGAAGUUCAUGAGUUGCAAAAACACAUGAACAAAGAGGUCGAGGUAAGAACUUCUAGCCUUUACUUAAGUUCUAGUCAAAUUUUUUAAACCAUGAGUGCCCAUGGCACCGUGCUACUAAUGGUUUUCAAAGAAUGUCUAAGUACAUGUUUAGGUGAAGUUGAACUACCUGCUGAAGUACGAGCUGUACUAGAUCAAUACAACGAUGUGUUUUCGGAGGAGAUUCCACCAGGACUACCCCCUAUUUGUGGCAUCGAACAUCAAAUCGAUCUUGUACCAGGUUCUGCUCUACCUAACAAACCAGCUUACCGAAUGAAUCCGGAGGAGUCUAAGGAGUUAGAAAAGCAAGUGCACGACUUGAUGGACAAAGGGUACAUCAGAGAGAGCCUUAGCCAUGUGCUGUACUAGUUCUCUUGGUACCAAAGAAGGAUGGCACAUGGAGGAUGUGUGUAGACUUCCAAGCAAUCAAUAACAUCACCAUCAAAUACCGACAUCCUAUUCUGAGGCUAGUCGACAUGUUGGGUGAGCUAAGUGGUGCGAUCAUCUUCUCCAAAAUUGACUUGCAAAGCGGCUAUCACUAAGUCUGAAUGAGAGAAGGCGACGAGUGGAAGACCGCAUUAAAGACCAAGCAAGGUCUCUAUGAAUGGCUCGUUAUGCCCUUCGGGCUAACCAAUGCACCAAGCACCUUCAUGCGAUUGAUGAACCAGGUUCUAAGGUCAUUUAUUGGUAAAUUUGUUGUUGCCUACUUUGAUGACAUACUUAUUUACAAUAAAUGCUAUCCUGAUCAUACUAAGCACUUAGAGUUAAUUCUGAAAACGCUUUGGAAGGAAGGCCUUUAUGCUAACCUAAAGAAGUGCUCAUUUUGUACUGACAAGUGUGUGUUCCUAGGUUUUGUAGUGAGUAAAAAUGGCUUACAGGUAGAUGAAGAAAAGAUCAAGGCGAUCCGCAAAUGGCCUACUCCAACAUCUAUUGGAUAUGUUCGUAGUUUUCAUGGACUAGCAAGCUUCUACACGAGGUUUGUCAGAGACUUCAGCACAGUGGCUGCACCAAUGACUGCUGUAAUCAAGAAAAAUGUACCAUUCUCAUGAAGAGAAGCCCAAGAACAAUCAUUAAACACGCUGAAAGAGAGGCUUACAUAAGCACCAGUUUUAGCACUUCCAGAUUUUGAAGUUAUGUUUGAAGUGGAGUGUGAUGCAUCAGGUUUGGGAAUUGGAGCUGUACUACAUCAUAGAAAAAGACCAGUCGCGUUUUUCAGUGAAAAGUUAAGUGGAGCAGCAUUGAACUACCCGACCUACGACAAAGAGCUUUAUGCCUUAGUACGAGCACUUGAGACAUGGCAACACUACUUGUUUUCCAAGGAAUUCAUCAUUCACACCGACCAUGAAACUCUGAAGCAUCUCAAGGGUCAGACUUCACUCAAGAGGAGACAUGCAAAGUGGUUGGAGUUCAUCGAGACGUUCCCAUAUGUGAUCAAGUACAAGAAGGGAAAGGAGAACGUGGUAACUGAUGCUUUGUCGAGGAGACAUGCCCUUAUAGCUACAAUGAAGGCUUAAGUAAUGGGUUUUGAGCACAUCAUGGAGUUGUACAAGGAUGAUCCAGAAUUAGGAGAGUGCUACAAAGAGCAUGGCAAAGGACCUUAUCAAGCAUUCUACUUGCAAGAUGGAUUCUUGUUCAAAGACAAUCGGUUGUGCAUCCCUCAAGGUUCAAUGCGAGAGUUGAUACUCACCGCAGCACAUGGUGGAGGGUUGAUGGGUCACUUUGGUGUUGACAAAACCUUGGCAAUGGUCAUGGAUCAUUUCUUUUGGCCCCAUCUCAAGAAGGACGUGGAGAGAUUUUGUUCUCGAUGCAUUGUUUGCCACAAGGCAAAAUCCAGGUUUUAUCCUCAUGGUCUAUAUUUACCAUUACCUAUUCCUAACGCCCCUUGGGUAGAUAUUUUUAUGGACUUUGUUUUAGGAUUGCCUAAGAUUAGACACAAGGAUUCAAUCUUUGUCGUCGUGGACCGGUUCUCCAAGAUGGCACACUUCAUCCCAUGUGACAAGACCAAUGAGGCUACUCAAACCGCGGAUUUGUUCUUCAAGGAAGUGGUGCGCCUCCAUGGUAUCCCGAGGACCAUCGUCUCUGAUCGCGACACCAAGUUCUUGAGUCACUUUUGGAAGACAGUUAGGAGAAAUUUAGAUUUAGCACCUUUACCUCAGAUAGAAUAGGCUUGUCAAGUUGCGUUAAGACGAGGAGAAAUCAUAAAGAAGUUGCAUGAAAAAGCAAAAAGCAACUUGAAGAAGAAGGCCGUCGACAACAAACGCAAAGCUGAUCGAGGAAGAAAAGAAGUGUUAUUUGAACCAGGAGAUUGGGUCUGGUUACAUAUGAGGCCAGAGAGGUUUCCAACACAAAGAGCAUCCAAGUUAUCACCAAGAGGCGACGGUCCAUUCAGGAUCCUCGAGAAGAUCAAUGACAAUGCUUACCGUUUGGAGCUACCUAAUGAGGUAAAAAUUUCAAAUACUUUUGUCUGGUUAUGAUCCAGGAGAUUCAGUUUUGAGGGCAAAACCUUUUGAAGAGGGAGGGAAUGAUGCGGACAUUGAUUAUCCUGUCCAACCCGCUGAACUAGAUCAAGUACCAGAUCCUGUACCACACCCUGUACCAGUCGUCCCUAUAGGUCCCAUGACUCGUUCAAAGUCUAAACAACUUAGAAAGAGGUUCAAUCUAGCUGAACAAGACAUUGUGAGCUCACUAGAGCUGAACUACGUCAACUGAUCUGUACCACCGUCACUCCAUCUCGACGUAUAUGAUCCCAUCACCGAGGAAGAGGUUGCUGAAGCAUUCACCCAAAUGAGUCUUGAACAUACCAUUUCCCCAGGUAUGAAUUCUCCUUUUACAGGUCAAGAAACCUCUAGAAUCCAAGAGAAGACAAUGGAGUCACAAGAGACGAGCAAAACAAGCUUCACCUUCGAGAGUGAUCGAGAGAGUGAAGAUCAAGAACAAGACAUCAAGGACUUGGAAAAGCUUCAAGAGACUGAUCAAGCUACACAAGAGAAACUCCAAGAAACCAUCUACUUCAAGAAACCAACAAACAAACAUGCACCUGACAAGACCCCUGAAGUAGAUCAAGACGUAGUUCAGAGAACAUCGAUUGGGCCUAGAUCGCAUCCAGGUAAGUUCUAUUCAGUAUUUUCGAUAUUUGCAGGUUCACUAAGCCCCAAAAACGGCUAGAAUACGUGCCCUUCAAGUGAGUUUAAGUGUGCACAAUUAGUUUCUUUAUUUUGUCAUUUUCUUUCCAAAAAACAAUGGGUUUUGUGUUUGCUUUUUAUUUGUUUCCUUUUGUAUUUCUUUGCAUUUAUUUUUGGCCCUAGGGCUAGCUGAUGGACUCUUAUAAAGUCCCCCUGCAGCAGUUGUACGAUUUUUCACCCUUGAUUAUCAAUAAAGAACCGAACUUUCUUCACUUCUUCUCUUUAAGUGUUCUUAAGAGAAUAAGCUUGUUCUUUGUCUUGUGUGUGUGAUUCCACAAGACUAAGAUCUUGUACUGUAUCAGAGACCAAUCACAUCUCUGUGGUGUACUUCAAUCCGCCAGCACUUCCCCUUCAUUCAAUCCCACAUGAGAGAAGCGACCGCCAUCGUGUCAGUUCUACAUCAACGACCAUCUUUCCUACACAAGAGAGAAGCGACCGCCAUCUUGUGUAGCCAUCAUAUCUAUCCUGAUACAAGCUGACCACCGAGUCUUGUAUCAUCUCCUAACAGCCUUUAAUACCCAAUCCUUGCAAUACAUCAACUGAUCUAACAGGACCGAGACCAUGCUACCAUCUGUUCUAUCUCCUACUAGUUCUCUACCAUCCCUAGUACUUGACAAUACACCACUCAAUGCUAUGUCUAUGAGCUGGAUCUCACUCUCAUUCACAUUCCCGGUUUCCUUUCUAGCAAAAAUCGUAUUAGCCAAAGACUUAUGGAAAUACCUCACAGCUGGAUUUCAGAUUUGGGCUCUCUUGGAUUUCGAAGAAGUGUAUUCCUUCCCAUCUGGACUUGAAUCUCUUGUGCCCUUUGACCAUAAUUUAUAUACUUGCCUACCUUUGUGUGUUCUAAGUACCCCUUGACUUAUAUUGACUAAAUAAAAGACAAAUUUUGCCCCUCCUUAUUGAUUGAUUUAAUUAAAUAAAAAAGGAAAAAGAAAAUGGACGCGGACCCCACUCCACCACCAUCUUCUCUCUUCUCCUCUUCUUCAUCUCCAGCCACGAUUUGUGGACCGAUUUCUUCUUCAUCUUCAACCACGAUCGAGCUCCUCUUCCGUUUAACUCCAUCGUCUCUCUCAUUAACACGAGAAGCAACCCAACAACUGAGGUAAUUCUUAUCCAUUGUUAAAUUCAAAAGUCGUUGGCAUGAAAAAUCAUAAUGUUGUGGAUUGUAUGUGUUCCCUAUUGAACUAUUAACAUUGUAGAUUUGGAUUUGAUCCGAUUUUUCUUAUCCUCAUUGUCAAUUAGGGAUAUGAGUCGAAUUGGGUGGACUAUUUCUCAGAAUGUGUGCAUUGUAACAGUUCAAUUGAAUUGAAUCGUAUGAAUGUAUUCUGAAUUUAGUAGUGCGUUGUAGGACAACUGGUAGAACUUGGUAUAACUAUUCGGGCACAACUUGGUAUAACUAUAAUGGUAAAACUUGUAGUACAAAUGGUACUCUUUGGUAUAACUUGGUAUAACUAUGAACACGACAGAGAUUAUAAUGUUAGUUAUCCUAGUCUAUUUCAGGCCACAAUGAAUAAAAACCAUCGAAAAAUCAUAAUAUAUGAUUAUGGGGGAUAUUAUGCAACAAGAGAAAAUGAAACAAGAUAGAAUUCAAGAGAUAAAGUUCAUCAAUCUCUUAGAAUGGAGACAGAGGAGGUCACUUAUUCUGCAGUGGUGAACAAGAUAAGCCGGAAGGCGAAUGUUGAUGAAACAACGACUGAGCUGAAAUUGAGUUACGUUCCAAAAUCAGUGGAGCCUAAGAGACCAAUAUACAUAUUUGAUGAUGACGAUGUUAUGUGUUAUAUGGAUAUGAAUGAAGAUCAUUUCGAAGUUUUGCAUGUCGAAGUCGUAAAUCAGGGGUAUGAGAAGAGUCGAGGAAGUGUAGGUUGUUCACUCAAUGAGGAGCAUAUUUCAAGUAGUAGAGCGACAGAUGGGACCAUGUUCCUUGAUGAAAGCGAGCCGUUUGAAAGUCAUGAGAUGGUGGAAAAUAGUGAUGGGAGAGAUGGGAACAUGAUUCGUUAUGAAGAACAGUCCGAAGAACGAGCAAUAGUAGAAGAUGGCACAUCUGUUGCUGAGAUCACACCUUCUGAGAUCACACCUGCUGCAGAGAUUACACCGGUUGUAAAGCGUGAGUUGGAAGAUGGUUUGGAUAUGACUAUCCGGCAAGAAUUUGAAAGCAAGCAAGUAAUUAAAGAUUUGGUUGAAAAAGCUGCGCACAAGAACUGUUUUGAGUUUGUUAUAAUAAAGUAGGAUCCUAUGUUGUUUGUGCUUAAAUGCUCAGAAUUUAGAAAGGGUUGCAAGUGGGCUUUACGAGCAGCAAGGAAUGGGAAUGCAGAUAGUUUCUCGAUCAGAACUUACACUAAGAUACAUACAUGCUUACGGUCAGAAACAAGUACAAUGAGUAAAAAAAGGAGAGGCACAUCUCAUUUAGUGGCAUCUGUUUUGCGUGAAGAUUUCCCUUGUCUGAUAGACACUCCAACUCCAAAAAAUCUGAUUCCUUUGGUUUAAUCAAAAGUUGGUAUCAAAGUGUCAUACUCAACCGCAAAUAGAGGGAAAAAGCUAGCUGCAGCUGACCUUCGUGGUACCGCAGAGGAUAGUUAUAAGUUGGUUUAUUGUUAUAUGCACAUGUUGGAGAAGAUGAAUCCAGGUACAGUUUCAUUUGUUGAAUUGGAUGAAGCCCAGUGGUUUAAAUAUUUAUUUUUCGCCUUGGGGGCGUGCAUUGAAGGCUUCAAUUCCAUGAGAAAGGUGAUCAUUGUGGAUGCAACCAGUAUUAAAAAUGUAUAUGGUGGAGUACUAAUCGUGGCUUCAGCUCAAGAUCCGGAUCACCACCAUUAUCCAAUUGCAUUUGGUGUAGUUGACAGUGAGAAUAAUGCAAGUUGGACUUGGUUUUUCAGUAUACUGAAAUCAGUUAUACCAGAUUGUACUGAGUUGGUCUUCUGUUCUGAUAGACAUCAAAGCUUGAUCAUGUCAAUAAGUACGGUGUAUCCGUUGUCUCACCAUGGAUAUUGUAUUUAUCACUUGUCUCAGAAUGUCAAACUGAGCUAUAAGAACGUGAACAGAGAUGUAGUUGCGACGACGUUCAUGCAAGUUGCGAAGGCUUACACCGAGUCUGAGUUUGAGAAACUCUACGCUGAUUUCAUUAAAAGGUUUCCAGCUGCAGGUACUUAUCUUGAUAAUCACGUAGGACAACAUAAAUGGGCACGAUGUUUCUUUCCAGGAGCUAGAUACAACAUUGAUACAACUAAUACAGUUGAAUCUAUUAAUGGUGUCUUUAGAUUCUUAAGGGCAUACGCUUUACUACCAAUGAUAGAUGCGAUUGUUGCCAAACUAGAUGAAUGGUUUAAUAAAUAUAGGAAUAUCUAUAGAGACUCCAAUAGAGCAGAAGUUAGUCCCUUUUGUUGAGAAGUUGUUGCACGAUAGAUAUUCAGACGCAAAGCUCUUACCGGUGACUGAACUAAACAGCUAUUUUCACGAAUACAGUGUGACUGGAGUUGAUGGUAGUAGUUAUGUGGUUGAUCUGAAAAACAAAACUUGCUACUGCAAGCAAUUUGAUAUUGAUAGAUAUCCGUGUGUGCACGCUAUUGCUGCGGCUAUGGAAGCAGCAAAAAACGCUGGUCAUGAGAUCAAUGAGAUCCAAUUGCAUGAGCUGUGCAGUAAGUAUUAUUGGAUGGAGCAGUGGGCAUUAGGAUAUUCAAGGACGAUAUAUCCAGUUCCUAUCAUGUCUAUGUGGAUCGUUCCGGACAAUGUGCGUGCUUUGGUUGUCUUUCCUAAGUUUUAUGUCAUAAAAAGAGGUAGGAAACCAACAAAGAGGAUUAAAUCAACAGGAGAACAUGGACGCAAGAAGAAGAAAUCUACCAUCGCGAGCUGGUUUGAGAGUCAAGGUUCCCGAAGUUGAUUGAUUGUAUUUUGAUGUAAUAUCCUAUUUGAACAAUUAGGUACAACUUGUUUUUGUUAUGGUACAACUUGAAUAAUUUGAAUUUGAUUUUCGGAUCUUCUUAAGUCAACUUGUUUUAAUGAUAUUUAAAUUGAUAUAUAUUUUUAAAUAAAAAUAUAUAUUGUUAGUUUUAAAAAAUAUUUCAAUAAUCGAAAAUAAGGAUUUAUUUUAAUUAAUUGAAAAAUCAGGAUUUAUUUGAAUUUUUUUAUAAACGUGAAUUGGAAUUAAAUAUAGAAAACUUAAUAAAUAUAAAUAUAUUGAAUUAUAAUUUCAUCAUGUUAUCCAAUAUAUAUAUAUAAUAAGGAAUCAUGAUUUUUAUUAUUAUACUUUACUAUAGAUAUCAUCAUAUUCUAGGAUUCUAAGUUUAUCAACAAAUACCUUAUACAUUAAGGGUCACUUUCUCAUUGCAAACAACAUAUAAUUAGAAAAGCCAAGAAACAAAUCUUUUCAAAAAUAUUUAGGCAUGUACAUGUGGUAUAUGUACAUCAAUUAAUGAAAAUCAUGUGUACAACUAAAAAUAUUUAUUUUAAACAUUGGACAACUAAUUAAAACUAAAAAAAUGAAAAAGUACAACUUGCCAAAACGAGUACAAUCUGUAACUUUGGUACAACUAGUGCAUUUUGGCGGCUACACAUGUGUCUUUUGGCGGCUACACGUGUCUAAUGUGGAUCACGUGUUUGUUGUGUUUGGUCCUUUUUUUUUUUUUUUUUUUUUUUAAUUUUAUUCUUCCGAUUUUUAAAAAAAUUCAAUUUUCAAAUUGAAAUAGAAAGAGGGAAUUGGGAAUUGGGUAUAUCUAGGGUUUAUUGUCUCUCCUCUCUCUCGACUCUUCACUUCUUCUCCUUCUUCCGUUUUGGUUUUCGAUUUCGUCUUUUUAUUUUGGCUUAGCGGAUUCUGAGAAUGAGUUGCGAAUCUGGAGCAUCGGGAAUCAUAUGUGGUAAUUCUUCCAACCGACGAAGGUUCCCUGGAAUUCCCAAAAAGUGUCAUUGUGGGUCACCAAUAGUUGACAUAAUCUCUCGAUCCAUACCAAAUCCGUGUCGUCGCUACUACCGGUGUGAAUAUGCAUAUGAUAGAAGGGUAAAUAUGUUUUAUCACUAUUGUAUUUGCGAUUUAGUUACCAACUUUUCCUUCUAAUUUUUUUUUUUUGGUAGCUUGUGAAUGAUGGAUAUGUCUUUAAGUGGGUUGAUGAAGCACUGGUGGAUGAGGUAGAACAAUUGGAUUUUCAAGUUGGUGUUUUAGAGGAAGAAGUUACUCUUAUGAAAAUGGAAAGGAUGAAAGAUAUGAAGGAAAUUAAGAAAAUGAGUGUACUCGUUUUCUGUGGUUGUCUUCUUCUGAUAGGGCUGGGAAUAUGGUACAACAAGUGUAACUUGUUCUUCGUAGUACAACUAAGUAUAACUUGUUCUUCGUAGUUGGACAACUAAGUAUAAAACUACUUGGUUUAGCUUUGUUGGUAACUUAGAACUUACUUUGUGUAUUCGGGUUGUAAUUUUUGGUUGUAAAACUAGUAUUUUGUAAUCGUACAACUACUAUGUAGUUUUACCAAGUUGAUCUUUUAAAUGCAGUUGUAUAAUGGGAACUCAGAAACUUAACAUAGAACAUAUAACUUACUAGAAUAGUUCAAAACACAUCCAAAAAGACAUCAAUCCAUAAACCAAUACAAAGAGUUCAAAUAUAAAAUGACUCUAAAACCCAACUUUAGAAUAGAUCAUCAAUUAUCCUUCUUCGCAUUUUGUCUUGUCUGAAUAGGACUCCUUAUGACCACAGUCGCUCCCUUCUUCUUGCUUAUGAUCUUCACCCUUUUACCUUGGUGAGCAUGAACAACUUCUUCUCUUUCCCUCUUUUCUCCUUUAUCCUUAGCUUGUUCUUUCUCGCCAUGUUCCAUCUCAACAUCUUCCUCUCGGCCUUUUUCCGUUGUCCCUAGUUGUUCUUUCUCUUCUUCAACUGUACCAAGUUGUUCUUUCUCUUCAUCAGUUGUACCAAGUUGUGCUUUCUCUUCAUCAACCUUCCCCUUCUCGGUCUCGGGUUUCUCAGACUUUUCCUUCUCACUUUGUUCUUUCUCAGCAUGCUCCUUAUCAGACUUGGACUUAUCCUUCUCAGCCUUAUCAGCUUGCUCCUUGUCUACCUUAUCCUUUUCGGCCUUAGCCUUUUCGGCCUUAGCCCUCUCAGCCUUCUCGGUCUUAUCCUUCUCGGCCUUAGCCUUUUCGGCCUUAGUCCUCUCAGCCUUCUCGGUCUUAGCCGCCUUAGCCCUCUCAGCCUGCUCCUUCUCAGCAUGCUCCCUUUCAGCUUGCUCUUUCUCUGCCUGCUCCCUCUCAACCUUAUCCUUCUCAGCCUGCUCUUUCUCAACCUGCUCCCUCUCAACCUUAUCCUUCUCAGCCUGCUCUUUCUCAGCCUGCUCCCUCUCAACCUUAUCCUUCUCAGCCUGCUCCUUCUCAGCCUGCUCCUUCUCAGCCUCCUCCAUCUCAGCUUCAUUCAUAUCUCCAUUGCCACCUUCAUUCAUACCUUCAUUCGUAUCUCCAACACCUUCAUUCGUAUAAUAUUCAUUUUCACCUGAGGCCCAUCUCACAUAUGAUUCCACAGAUUUAACUCUGUUAUACAGACUAUCAACCUUCUCAAUAAUUUCCUUAAACCCUUGCUUCACUUGUUCUUCUACCUGAACCAAUCUAGCUCCUAGCUGAGCCAAAUUCACCGGAGCCACAGGGUUCACAUUUUCCAAACUCACAUUUUCCAGAUUCACAGGUUCCGGAUUCACAGCUUCCGGAUUCACAUCUUCCGGAUUCACAUCUUCCGGAUUCACAUCUUCCGGAUCCACAUCUUCUGGAUUCUCCCGGGUGGCCAAAUCUUGGUUGUAAAGCUCUUCAAAACAUAUUGACUUCUCUUCAUCAAUUAACACUUGGUCCAACCAUCAACAACGGGAUCAUCUACAUCAUUAUAGGGACUCUCUUCAUCCAUGACACGACCUAAAAGACGUUUCUCACGUGAUGAUGGAGUCAAAAUAGUUUCAAUAUCCUAUGAAAAUAAAACAAUAUAAUGUCAAACCAACCUAGUAAUACCAAAAAUAAAUGAAUAGGAUAAGUAUGGGACUUGCUAACCUUAGUUGUACCAAGUUUGUCAUAAAUUUCCUUCAAUGUAAACCCUUUCAGUUUACUUGCUUUAAAUUUCAACUUGCACAUCCGAGGACAAUGACGACGUGCAUGUGCAUUAUUAACGUCUUCUCGGCAAUAUUCCUUAAGAACAGGAAUUGCCUCAAAAGCAAGAACCUACACACCACACAAAAUCGUGGACUUAAAACUCAAUUAUACCAAGUUAUACUAAGUUGUACAUUUUCAUAAUUCAAUAAUUACCUCCAACGGAAUGACGAAACUAGGAAAGACCCAUUGGUUUGUGCUCAAAACUCCACCAAAGUGGUUCAUACAAUGAAAGAUGUCCUUCAUGUUCUCAUCAAAAGCCAAACGACCCCAAGGGAACGUUUUACACAUGUCCAAAUCAUCAAUAGCCCUAAGAAAGAAUGGCUCUACGGAUGGUGCUUUUUUCCCUGCCUUCUUCUUCCCUAUGAUCACACUACACAAGAAGUUGAGGACCGCCAUCUUCACUCGAUCUGGAGAAGCUCUCUUCAUCGAUAAAAGUUUUGCUUGGACAUCAUCAUAUCUUAUUGUUGUGCCAACACCAAAAUGCUUACCAACAAACUCAUUACUGCCCAGAGUUUCCAUGUCCCGGGGAUACUCAUGGCAGUAUAAGCCAGAAAUCAGUGCCAUUGUUUUAAGAGAAUAUCUGAUGGGAGUACCAUUUACUAUGAACCAACAUUCUUUUUUCUUCUCUAUAGACGCCGUCCGGAGAAGCAACAUCCACAUACCCAUCAAUUUGUGAUUGGCAUCAUUCGGCAUAUGGAAGAAGUGUUUGAACUGUGGGUGUCCUAGUAACCAGUCCAACUCAUGAGACUUAAGGUGAGCUCUCAAGAAGUCCACUGUCCUUGUGAUAUAACACUUAGCAGAUAGCUUGAAUGGCUUCAUGUACUCGUAUCUAUUGAAGUACAUGUUCACCGGUUGCAUUACUUCUGUUCCCUCCUCGGAUUCCUCCUCGGACUCCUGCAAAACAACAUAGUUAUACUAAGUUUUCCCAAGUUAUACCUUUUGAAUUUCGAAUUGAAAUAAACUAGUUAUACUAAGUUCUCCUAAGUUGUACCUUUUCAAUUUCUUAGUAAAAAAACGAGUUCGCAAAAGUUGUACUAUUCUAUCCAAGUUGUAUAUACCGUUGAAUCCCCAGAAUCUGAUUCCGGAUUUGAAUCUGUUUUUUCUGAAUCAUCUCCACGAGUCUCUUCUUCUUCUGUUGGCUUUUCGACUUCACCUACUGGAUAUGUUUCUUUGUUAAAGCUUGCGUUCUUUGUACGCACCAUUCUUCUCUUCUCCUUCACACAAAACCAACAACCGCUAAUUACAACAUACUCGAGUAAUAAAACGAAAUCAACACCCAAAUCGGCUAAACCUAAAUCGAGAACACCUAAAUUGAUAACAUUCAAGCGGAUCUAACUUAAAAUACCCAAAGAAUUAAAGGUUUUGACUUACCCUAUCUCGGGUUGUCCUUAGUUAUACUCGAACUCUUUGUGAUUUUUAGUUUUUUCAAAACACUUAGGGUUUGGGGAACUUAGAUUUUUCAAAAACGAUGAAGAGGAAGACAAAGAGGUUAAAAGAUCCGAUGGAUAUCCGAUAGUGAUAUGGGUUUUCGGAUAUAGACUGGUUGGAUCUGUAAUUGUUUUAUUUUAGUGAGGAUAAGGUUGUAUUUUAACCAAUUUUCGAUUUUUUUAAUUAAUUUUUUUUUUUUCAUUUUGGUCAAACCCUUAUGAGAAUAGAAGAAGGAGUCAAAGGGUACAAGAGAUUUUAGUCCUUCCCAUCUCUAAUGGUUUUCCAAACAGAUUUGAUCUCCUCCUUUAGCACAUCUUGGCUCAUCCCGCUUGCUUGCAAAAACCCAUAGAGCUUUUCAACUUCCUUAAACGUGAGAGAAUAGGUAGUACCUCUCACGCAGAAGGUGAUGUAUCCAAGGCAGUCAUCUGAGUGAAACUCGGAUUCAUCCUCGUAGAAAUGGAGCUGGAGUGAGGCUAACACGUAGCACGUCUCCUCGUCGUAGGCUUCUAAAUUCCUAGUCAUGAAUGAACCGAGCCCGAUUCUCUCGAAUAGAAACUCAACAUCUCGUGCUAUGCCCAGCUCCUUCAUUGUUUGCCGGUGAGGAUAGCGAGUUCCAACGAGCUUUUGGCGCCUAAACAUUGCGUAUAGCUCUUCUGGAGGGGGUAAGUUCUUGGUCUUCCUCGGUGCCACUACCCUCAUAGGCUCUAUAUCCACCAUCGGUUCAUCGACAUCUUCUUCUGCAUGCCUCUUCCCCAUCGAAACUUCUUCUCCUGAAAUCAGGAGGGUCUGACCCGAUCGACUGGCCCGAUCGGGUUCGAGCUCGGGUUUCUCUUCUCCCACUUCUGACCCGAUCAAGUCCGGCUCCAGUGGCUUGGAUUGUCAAGAAAUUUCUUGCAAUUUCUUCAGCGGAUUGACUGUGAUGAGCUUCUCGUUGUGAUCUUGAGAGACUCUUCCUUCUGGGUUGAGGAAUCCUUGAAGACAUCUUUGUUUCCUGGGAAUGCGAAACUCAAAACUCAAAUUUAGUAGGUUAGUAACCCAGAAAAUAAGAACAACAAGAACAAUCUUGAAAAUAAUCCCAGAAAAUAAGAACACAAGGUUCAAUUAUACAAACAAAUUCAGAAAAUGUGAAGAAUCAAAAGCAAGAUUAGCAACAAACCAAGAGAAUGUGAAGAACAAAGGGCAAAUGAAAUCAAACCCUUAAAUUUUAGCAGCCAAGAAUAUAGAGAGAAGGAAGAGAGAAUUCUAGAGAGAUAAGUGAAUUUUUAGAAAAAUGAGAGAAUGAGAGAGGUUUUGGUCGAGUUUAGGGGUUAUAAAGAGGGUGAGAAGGGACAAAAAUUUGAAAGAGGAGCGUUUUUGGUCGGGCUAGAUUCAAAAUUCGAAAUUCAAAUCGAGUUGACCAUUGACCCGACCGUUACCUUUGAUCCGAUCGGACGGCUGAGAUGAACUCGAUCGGGUGGCUCAGUAUGAUUUGAUCGGACGUUCGAGAUUGACCCGAUCGAAUCGCGUUGACCCGACCGUGUGCGUGUUGACUCGACCGAAUGGGCUUGUGAAAUUGGGUUUUAAGGCCCAAAUUGACUCCUUCUUCCUUGUUUCCUUAUCUUGACCCAAUAACACCUUUCUUCACUCACAAUCAAACCUGAAAACACAUCAAACUAAAAGGAACAUCAAAUUAUAAAAAACUUAAAGAAAUAUGUACAGGGAUAUCGUUGGGACUUCCUCCCAAGUGAGCUUGUUUAUGACAAAGCUUGACUUGGUAUAGUCCUCACGAAGUGGUUGAACAAUGGAGAGGUUCAACAAUUCUCUCCAAUGCUAAUGACUAAUGUAUCUAAUACCUCUUCCUUGCAGCAUAUCUGUUCUUGAAAGUAAGUACCCUCUUUGCUUUCCUAGAAGUCAAGAUGUCGUUCUUCUUCUUCAACACCACAGUUUCCCCGGUUAACCCUUGAAUAGUGGUUGCUAGCCGCAUUAAGUCUUUCUUGAGAGUCUUGAUCACUUGGAGUUCAACACAAGUUGGAGAAGAGGUCGAGGUUUCUUCUGUUUUGAGCGUUGUGCUUUGGUAUGGAUACGCCAUAUUCAUCUUCAUCUUUGUUCCUCUAGCAAGAUCAAGGGUCAUGACCCCCAUUCUCAUAUCAAUAACUGCACCUGCUGAGGCUAGAAAUGGUCUUCUGAGAAUUAGUUGAUACUGUGGUUCUCUUUCCAUCUCGAGAAUCAGAAAAUCAGUGGGAAUCUUUACUCUUCCAUCUUCGACAAGGAGAUCCUCCAAUACUCCUACGGGUUGUCUUGAGCUCCUGUCCGCCAUCACAAUCGUCAGGCUCCACUGUGUAAAGGUUGUAUAGCCCAUCCGCUGAGCUAUUGAGAGGGGCAUCAAGCUAAUCGAAGCGCCUGAGUCGCAUAGACACUCGUUGAAGAUCAUUGAUUUGAUUGAGCAGGGGAGUGUGAAAGCUCCAGGAUCCCCCAUCUUCUUGGAGAAGCCAGAAUCCUGAGAGGGUGGAGUCAAACUCUUCCUCUGUUGCAUCCUUUCCAGUAGAACUUUUUUGAGAAUCUCCCUGUAGGAGGGAAUGUUGGCGAAAGCAUCCACUAAAGCCUUCAUCUGAUCAUUCCCUGAUAGAGAAUCGAGAAUGUGGUUAUAUUCUUCCUUGAUUUCGGCUUUAGAUUCUUCUGGAUAAAGUAGUGGUCUUCGAUUCGAGGGCUUGGGGCUGGUAGUUCUGAUCGGGCGAAGAGGCUCAUCGGAAGUUAAUUCACACAAUCUGUCAGACAAACAGCGCACACGAUAUCAGGCCCGAUCGGAUCCGUGGUACCCUUGAUCGGACCGAUCGGGUCUAUGGUAGACUCGAUCGGGUUCGGUGUUGGCACGGUCGUGUCUGCUGUAAACUCGAUCGGGUUCACCGUGUAGGACACAAGUUUGGGCUGAAUCCUCCCCCUCUUGAACCUCACUGUCCUCAGUGAUAAUUGGGUAUGGAUUUCCAAGAGUAAUCGCAUGAGCAGUAGCAAAUUCUUUAGGGUUCAUGAUAGACUUUCCUGGGAGUUGGCCGGAAGAAGUGGAGGUUUGGUUGCCUUCCAUGAUAGCUACUUUUUUGCUUAACCAAUCGAACUUCUGGUUGAGCUCAUGUAUAGAUGCAUUCACAUCGUUUCGAAUCUCGGCGAACUGGCUGGCUUGAUCAAGGCGGCUGUUGUCCUGUGCCUGGAGAAGCUGAUUAAGUGUUGUUUGAACAUCUUGUUCUGGGUAUGCAUGAGUAGGGUGCUGUUGGAACCCUGGAGGAUGAGCUAUAGGUUGUUGAUAAGAACCUUGGGACUGUUGUUGAGGUUGAAAAUCUUGUUUUUUAUUAAAGCCAACAAAUGGCUUAUUUUGGAACUGUUGUUGUUGAGGCGGAUAGACUCGAUCUUGAGGGUUUGCAACAUUGGUGCUUCUAUAAGAGAGAUUUGGGUUGGGUUUAUAGUUGUUGUAACCCUUUUGGUAGCCUUCUUGAUUCUGGAUAUAGCUUACCUCCUCAGUAUUAUCACAAUCACCAUCAUUAGGUUGGAAGGUCUCCUCCUCCUGAACAAAGUGAACAUUCUUCUGCUGGUUCAUCAAAACCUUAUCGAGCUUGUCGUUAAGUGCCUUCAUAUCCUUCUUAUACUUGUCCUUUUGGUCUGUGUUGCCCUAAACGGUUAUGUCAUAAUCCUCGUUGUACGGUCCAUCGGACUGAGCGAGGUUCUCCACAAGUUCCCAACCAGCUUCAACAUCCUUGUUUAGAAAAUUACCAUUGCUGGAAGUAUCGAGAAGUAGGAAAAACUUAGGUAGUAUCCCUCGAUAGAGAGUACUAAGAAGCGACUCAUUGAUGAAACCGUGGUGAGGACACUGUGAUUGAUAGAUUUUGAAUCUAUCCCAUGCUUCAUAAAAGGUUUCGUUGUUGCGCUGAGCGAAGCUAGAGAUAUCGUUCCUCAAUCUGGCGGUUCGUUCAUUGGAGAAGAAUUUUGAUAGGAAUGCUUUCUUACAUUCCUCCUAGGUCGUGAUUGAUCCUGCUGGCAAGGACUUCUCCCAUUGAUGAGCCUUGUCGCCUAAGGAGAAAGGGAACAAUUGCAGCUUGAACCCGUCUUCGCUCACCCCGUUGAUUUUUGUUAAGCCACACAUUCGAUCGAACUCAUCGAGGUGAUCGAGAGGAUCCUCCGUUAAUAAUCCAUGUAAUUUAUUUCCUUGUAUCAUUGAAAUGAGGCUGCUUUUUAUUUCGAAGCUAUUGUUUUGUACUGCUGGCGGGACUAUCCCUUAUCGAGUGGUGUGGUUUCGUGGGGCAUCACCUGCUCCGAUUAGGGUUGGUACCCUUGGUGAAGGCACCAUUUCCACUUGCUGAGUGUUGAUGUCUGAUGUUUGAACGCGUUGCUUUCUGAGUUGUCGAGGGAAGCGUUCAAUGUUGUUGAGGUAAUUGAGCAGGUGCUGGUUACCCUUGGAUCUAGUGUGCAUGCAAGGUUGCUCGAUCAGAAACACGUGGUUAGGCUCCUGAGUUGUCGAUCCAAAAAGGUUGAAGCAAAGGGGAAACAUGUUGUUUGUCUCUUGUCAGAAGAAAAAGGUCCAGCUGGCUUCGCAACAGAGAAAAGCAGAUGCAAGAAAAGUCAAAGGUGUCUUCUUUUCCUUGAAUAUUUUUUGUGGAGAAGGCUGAAAAAAUGACAUGGGGCACAUUCUAUUACUUUGGGCCUAUUUUAGGUGAAAUUUUUUUCUUUGUCCCAGAAAAGUGCAUUAUGUGGUCCUCAUUCAAGUGUAGCAUCUAAUGGAAAUAGAGGGUCAGAGAAUAUGUUGCUGGGAAAUCAGUGGAAAACCAUCUACAUCUUUUUCUGAUAAUCAGAUGGAGUGUUUUGUUUUUUUUAAGAACAGCAAGUCUAUUGACAGAGAAAAUCAGGUUAGCGAAAGUGUUAAUGUGUAAGGGUUUCAUGGUUUUGAGAGUCAAUUGGGUGGCUUAUGUUAAGGUUCUUAUGUAUUUCUUCCUUUGAAGAGGAGUGGCAUGUAUUCUGAUCUACCAAAUCUGUUACUCAUGGAGUUCAUCCAAUGUCACUGGUUCUUCAAGAGAGUAAUCUCAACAAGAAGGUGACAACAAUUUGUUUGAAGUCUACAAUGUGAGAAAGACAGGGGUAUUCUGGUUCUGAAGUUCCAUCAGGAUGUUGUGUGGUUAUAUUUUCUAGUUGAUCCUUGAAUAUGGUCUUCUGAAUUGACAUUAGACCUUUGGGUAUUCUGCUUUUGUCUCUAUGAAGAAAUCAAGAUCAUCUCAGAAAUUUAAUCGUAGCUUCGAGAUACUAAAAGAAAGAAGGCGAAUUCAGAGCUAAUGAAAUGCGGUUAUGAGAUCAUAUGGGUAUUUUGAAACCAAUGAUAUGAAAUCAAUCCUAAUUCUAAUACUGUACCAGCAAGUCAAAGCCACAAGAUUGACCAGGUUAUGGUCUUCUCUAGUUUUAAAUUGUCUGGGUUUUUUAAUUUAAUUUGUUUUGUUUACAAGUUUGAGUCGAACGUUUUUUGGUUAGCUUAAUUUAUUGAUUUUUUGUUUUCAUUUUUGUUUGAUGGGAGACUUUUAGUUCAGAGACUGAGUAUUUUCUAAUGCUUAAAUUUUUCAUACAACCAAAUUAUUGAUGGAUAUGAUUUAAGCUUCACAAGAUUGGUGUUUGCGUUUUGCCAGGUCUUGAAAUGUUUACGGUUUCAUAAAGCCAAAGGUUGUAUCUUGAAAGAUGUUUUGAGUAAUAAAAUAUUGUGCUAGGAGUACACCAAUUUAUAAAUAUAGUUUGUUGGUUAUAUAUAAGCUCAUCUAUAAGCUCACCAAGAUACUAAUUAGUUUUGACUAUGUGUAUUGUAGUGCUUCUUUAUGAAUCCCUAAUUUCCCGUGUCCUAAAACCAACUGUUUGUUCAGGCAUAUGGAUAUGUUGCUUGUCCUCAUACGUUAGAUGCUUGUUUGAAACUAAUUUAGUGGCCACCGUUGUUGCUUCCAAGCAAGGUUAGUGAUCUUUUCUUCUUCUUUUUGCCAUUACAAAUAAUUUUUUUUCUUCUUCUCCUUAUUGCUUAUGUUAUCAUCUUGGUACAAAUACCGAUAACAAUGGUUAUGACAACUUAAUUUAGAACCGUAUCAACGCUAGGAAUACAUUAAAUCUGCUGUCAUCAGAUGGGUACGAGUCAUUCAAACAUGUCUUUCACACCUUGGUAAUUGAGAAAAAUAAGAAAAGGUAUUUCCUUUUGUAAGCUAAAGAGAAGAUAGAGAGGGAAUUCAAGUGUGUCUUUAUUCAUAGGUUAUGAGUCCUUUAUAUAAGGAUGCACAUAAGACACAUAAGUAAAACCUAGCCGCCUAAUACAAAGAUGGGCCGGGCUUGGGGAUGGGCUGGACCGGGCUUGACUUAUGACAAUCCACUAGUUGAUGUAUAACACUCCACCUUGGAUGUUAUAACCAUUAGAGCUCGUAAUACGCUUUGGAUGUCAUAACCAUUAGAGCUCGUAAUACGCUUUCGAUGUUGCCUCAUUAAAACCUUACCAGGAAAACCCAAUGGGAUAAAACCAUAGUGAAGGAAAAAGAGUGCAACACGUAGUACUCCCCCUGUUCUGAACCUCACUGAAGAUCUUUCAGUCAGCGCAUUCCAAUCUGAUGUGUAAGUUUCUUGAACAUUGAGUUUGGACUUCUCCAGCUUUUUGUAACUCGUGAGUGAAAAAGAACGUUGGCAAGAUGUGUUUCGUCCUAUCUCCUAUGAUGUAUCCGUCUAUAAGUAAAGCUAUGCAUGCUUCAUUGUCCUCGUACAUGAUGGUUGGUGCCGCCUUCCCUUUUGGCAUCCCACAGUCGAUUCUAAUGUGUUGAGUCAUGGACCUUAACCAUACACAUUCACGACUGGCCUCAUGCAUCACCAAUAUUUCAGCAUGGUUGGACGAUGUUUGCUUCAUGGAUUGUUUGCUUCAUGGAUCGCCAAGAUAGAGCAGUACCACCAUGUGUGAAAACAUAAACUGUCUAAGAUCGACCAUUGUGUGGAUCCGAGAGAUAACUUACAUUAACAAAACCAAUUAACCUCUCAUUGGGUUGGUUAGUAUAAAAUAGACUCAAGUGUUUCGUUCCUUGUAGGUAGUGAAGAAUAUGCUUAAUCAUGUUCCAGUACCUUUGGGUUGGACAUGAGCUAGAUCUAGAUAAUAAAUUAACGACAAAACAUAUAUUUGGCCUAGUGUGGCUUGCCAGAUACAUUAAAGCUCCUAUGGCACUUAGAUAUGGAAUUUCGGGACCAAGGACUUCUUCAUCCUCUUUCUUAGGACCAAACAGAUCUUUGUCUAAAUCAAGAGAUUUCACGACCAUGGGGCUAGUCAAUAGGUGAGAUUGAUCCAUGAGUAUUAAUGUACUCAAGCUGUAAUUCCAAACAAAACUUUGUUUUUCCAAGAUCUUUCAUCUCAAUUUUUUUCUUAAGAUAUUCAACUGUUUGGGAAAACCUCUUAGGAUAUUCAGGUCGUCAACAUACACCGUGAUGAUAACGAACCCCUUAUCAAAUUUCUUUAUGAAUAUACACGGAGUGAUGGGGUCGUUCUUAUAGCCCUCGUUCCCUAAGUACUCGGUUAGCCUAUUAUACCUCAUUCGACCAAAUUGUUUCAAUCCAUAAAGGGAUUUAUUCAAUUUUAUACAAUAUUGUUCUCGAGAACUUAUUUUAUCUUUGAGCUCAAUACCCUCUAGUACUUUCAUGUAUAUCUUAUUAUCCAGUGGACCAUAUAAAUAUGCAGUUACUACAUCCAUUAACCGCAAGUCUAAUUUCUCUCUUAUGGCCAGACUUAUUAGGAAUCUAAAAGUAGUAGAAUCAACCACAUGGGAGUACGUCUCCUCAUAAUCUAUUCCUGGUCUCUGUGAAAAUCUUUGUGCAACAAGCCAUGCUUUAUAUCUCACGAUUUCACCAUUUUCAUUUCUUUUUCUCACAAAGACCCAUUUAUGUCCAACUGGUUUAAUAUCAAGAGGUGUCCGAAUUAUUGGACCAAAGACAUUCCUCUUCCUUAAAGAAUUUAACUCCAUGUUUAUAGUUUCUUUCCAUUUAAUCGAAUAUGAUCGUUGAGUGCACUCUAAGAUAGACGUGGGUUCUAAAUCCUCUCUUAUGUCCAUAAGUUCAAGUGCUACCUUGUAUGCAAAUAUAUUAUCAAUGUCGACAUUCUUUCGGUUCCAUUGUAUUCCCGACAUAACAUAAUUUAUUGAGAUCUCUUUAUCAUCAAGAACUUCAGUACCUUGAAGCUUGGCCUCCCAAGCCUCAUUAUUAGGUAUCUAAGGUUCUGUUAUGUCUUGGGUUUCUUUAACCACAGUUUCCUCAACCUCGGAUUCAUCUUUAUCAUGAUCAAAAUCAUCUUCAUUUUCGUAAUGGACCAAGUGGGCUUCCGGAUUUUACCCUUUAAUACUCUCUUGAUAGAGUUCAACAAAAUGCUUGGGAGUCCGACAUGUUUUAGUCCAAUGAUUCCCCAUUCCACAUCGAUGACAUACUGAUUUGGCGGUUGAGUGUUGUGGUAUAAAGGAAGUACCACGGCCUCAGCCUCUACUAUCAUGGUACCCGCGGCCUCGGCCUUGUCCUCGACUGUAGGAGUUAGAGUGGCCACGACCAUGUCCUUGCCAUCUCUCACGUCCAUUGCCAUUUUUAUUAUACUCUUUCUGGAUGUGGUUAGAUUCAUUAGAUUCCUUCUUUGCCUCUAUGACCACAUUGGCUUCACGAAGUAGGGUUUAUCCAAGAGGUCUCNNNNNNNNNNNNNNNNNNNNNNNNNNNNNNNNNNNNNNNNNNNNNNNNNNNNNNNNNNNNNNNNNNNNNNNNNNNNNNNNNNNNNNNNNNNNNNNNNNNNCGAUAUUGUUGUUGCAACAAUACCUUACUAGUCUGGAAGGUAGAAAAGGUCUUUUCAAGCAUAUCCUUUUCGGUUAUAUCCUCACCACACAGUUUCAAUGUAGAAACGAUCUUAAACAUGGCUGAGUUAUACUCAUCCACGGACUUGAAGUACUGGACUCUGAGAGAUUCCCCCAAUCAUACAUGGCCUUUGGUAAUAACACCGUCCUUUGGUGAUCAUAUCUCGAUUUCAAUUCAUUCCAAAGGUCCAAAAGAUUCUGAAUUAUCAAGUACUGAUCUUUGAGACUCUCAGCAAGAUGAUGGCGAAUAAUUAAUAUUGCCUCAUAUCUAUUCUUUUCGGGCUCGUCAUUCUCAUCCACAAUACAUUCACCGAGCCCUUCUGAUUUCAUCAAAAUCUAAGUUGUUGAGUUUCGACAUCUGAAAUCAUAUGCUUAUUCUUUUAGAUUUCAUAAAAUUCUAAUGUUCAUGCAAAGCAAGUUAUGUUCAUGAUUCAAACCUAUUAUACAAUUCUAGAUGUUCAUAUGGAUAUAUGCUAAUUGGUUUUCAUGCAUUUAUAUUCAAUUUUUAGGGUAAUUAACUAUCAUGCAUUCAUAUUCGAUUAAACAUAUUAAAAAUAUUCAUAUUCGCUUAAACAUAUUCAUAAUUAUAAAUCAAGGGUUUUCAUAAAAUAAAAUAGAUAUGAAUUCAUAUUAAACAAGCAAGCAAUAAUCCAUAUGAAAAUAAUCAAGCAAUAAACGAAUUCAGGAUUUUAGGGUUUUAGGGUUUCAUAUGAAAUCAAUAACCAAUUUCAGGUUUUAGGGUUUCAUAUGAAAGCAAUAAAUUUUCCAUAUUUUAUGGUUUUAGGAUUUCAGGGUUUUCAUGAUUAGGGUUUUAGUAAUUAACUUACCUUGAUCUCCUGAAAGGGUUGAAUGGACUAUGAGCAAGAGAACCUUAGAAACGCCGUGAACCUCUGUGGGUUGAGCAAGAGAACGUCGCUAGCUGAUGCUUUGUUUGUCCGGAACCGUCAGCGAUGUUGAUGCUUGAUGGGUGGGGAUUUUAGGGUUGGAGGCGCUUUAGCUUUUAGGGUGUUAGAAAAAUCAAGCUGAUAACGUGUUGUAAACUAAAGAGAAUAUCGAGAGGGAAUUCGAGUGUGUCUUUAUAGAUGGACUGGGCUUGGUGAUGGACAGGACCGGGCUUAACUUAUGGGCUGGACUAGGCUUGUUAUGACAAUCCUCAUUCAUCAUAACAAAUAUUUCUUGCAACUUCUAGUUUGGAUAGAGUUGGUCUAUGCCUUAUACAUCGUAAAACUGUUUAAUUAUAUUUAAAAAUGCAUAGACAUUGACUUGGUAACAUCUAAUGCCUUAUUAGUGGUAUCAUGUCAGUAUAUUGCAGUGUUAGAUCGCAAAGGUAAACAAAAAAUUCAGUAUUGUUUCCCUAGCAGUAUUUUCACAUUCUCGUGUUAAUUUGAUGUUUUGGAAUAAUAUUGUUCCAUUAAAUUUAUAUCAAAGUAAAAAAUAAAUUAGAUACUUUUAGGUACUAGGUUAUUAACCCGCGCUACGCGCGGGGUAUAUUUGUAUUGAUUAUUUUAAAUUGUUAUAGAUUUAGUAAUCAAUUAAAUAGCUCAAGUAUGUAUUUAUUGAUUAUUAUAAAAACAAUUUAGACCUAGUAAUCAUUUAUAUAUACAUUGAUAAAUACUAUGCAGAUGUACUAUAACAUUUUAAUUUUGAUUUGUGCUAUAACAUUUUAAUUUUGAUUUGAGUAUCCUUUAUGUUGUUUAAAAAAAUUGUGUUAAUAAAAUGGGGAAUUUCAAAAAUACCCCUUUUCCAAUACCACUUUUUUAAAAUACCCUUCUUUCUAAUUUUAUCAAAAAGUCACUAUAAAAUUUGAAAUUUAUCAAAAACAUAUGUGCAAACUUAUAUUUAUAGACACAAAUUAUCUUUAUAUGUGUGUAAAUUUCUAUAUAUAUUUCAUAAAUACCGCAUAAAUACCUUUUAAAAACUUUUUAAAAAUCAUUUAAAAACCUUAUAAAAACUUUGUAAACCUUUUAAAACCUUAUAAAACAUUAUAAAUUCCGUUUAGAACCUUUUAAAAUCUUAUAAAUAUUUGGAUUUAGUCUCCCAAUAGUAAUGAUGAUCUCGAUGUACCUUAUUAACCAUAUAAAAGUUUAUAAUUUGUCAUAUUUGAAAAGGGGUAUUUUGGAAAAUGGAUAGAAAAGAGAGGUAUUUUUAAAAAGGAGUACACAAAAGGGGUAUUUCUCAAAAAUUCUCUUAAUAAAAAAGAAAAAGUAAAAAAUUAAAUGUGAUUAGUUAAAAUAUAUAUAUUUUUUAUUCGUGGACAAAAAAGAUAAUACAAAUUUUAAGGGUUUGAAAUAUUUCUGGUCUCUUUCACCAACAACGUUCUGACUGAAUCUUAUUAGUUAAGUAGUUGUGAUAUAGCAGAAAUAUAUGAUGGGAACUUGAAUUCUAAGACUUCCUCAUUUUAGUAUCCGCAAUUUUACUACUAUUCAUCUUUUCUGCUCACUUUAUAUUAGCUAGUAUAGAUUUUUAAAUAUAAUAUUAUGAAAAAUCUUUUCAGUAUCUAAACUUACUAAUUCUAUUUUGUUAUAUAAUAUAUGAUCAUUAACAGUAUAUUUAAUGUAAUGCCGUGCUCGAAAAUUGGUGUUGUCGAUCCACCAACAUUUUUCGGUUUGAUCGGUUUGCUUUUAAUUGCGAAAUCGAGCGGUUAUGGAUUGGUUUAACCUAAGUUCGAAUUUUUAAAAGAUGAAUUGUCAACCUAGUUUUUCAGUAGCUGCUUUUGUCUUUUUUCAAAAGCUCUAAAAGUUUCUUGGUGGUUCUAGGCUAAAGAAAGUUAGAUCCGUGGUUUUUGGUGUUUGAGGAGUUAUUUUUCACCAUUGUUAGCUCAUGUUCGUUGCUGUUCGAUCUUGUUAAAGAGGUGAGUGCAUGACCUAGGCUUAUCUAAGCUGUUUUGAUUCAUGUUUUUGUGAUUUCUAUGGUUGUUGAUUGAUUUUCUUUGUUUGUAUGCAUGUUUCUUGUGUUGUGGUGCCUCUGGACGAGGCUUGUGGUGUAUCUACUCGGCCAUGGAUUGAUUGGAGGAGUAAAUCCGUUGAUAAUAAGCGACUAGAGGGAUGUUAGGGCAUCGGUGUCGAUCGACAGCAAUCUUCUGUAUCGCGAGGAUAGUCCCGAGUGUAAAUCGACACCUGUGGCAAGUGUCGACCAACACUACUCGUCAUGUUGAAUUAUGUGAUUAUUGUUAUUGUCAUUUCUUAUGAUUUUUGGUUAUUGCUUGAAUGUGAAUUAUACUGCUUGUGCGUAUAGCCCAUUGUGGGGAUGAAUGUCUCACUAAGUAUUUAUGAAAUACUUAUGAAUCUCUUUACGGGAUGCAGGUAAAGGAAAGGUGUGAUCGUGGAAUCAUGGCGAGGAGAGAAGAAUGAUCUAGGGGCUCGCUGAUUGUUCUAAAUAAUUGCUAGAGUUGGUUAGAAAUUGUUAGUUCUUGAAUUUAGAAACAUGUUAGGAAGUUAUUCUAUUUCUGGAAGUUGACUAUUUUGGAUAUUGGAUUGGUUGUUGAUUUAAUGCAUUUGUUUUACUUGGAUUUGUGGUUAAGUCUUCCGCUGGUUGUUGUUAAAUGGUUUGGUUGAAUUGGAGUUGUUGGUUAAUCUUUUCAAAUCAGAAUUUGAUGGUUUAAUUUGAUUAGUCCGGUUUAGCUGGUUUAGCUGGUCUUACUAAUUGUGUUAAUCCGGUUGCAUGGUUAAAAGUUAAAAAAUGUUGGGUUGUGUAUUUUCAAUUUGGUAUCAGAACCCUUACGGUUCUAAGGCUGGGUUAAAUAGGUGGUUGUGAUGUGAUGUGUGAAUUUUGUUGAUGAGAAAUAAUGAUGUGAAUUGCAUGCCUGAUUGAUUUUUAUGUGUUUAAUCAAUUGUGUGGGCAUGGGGACCUAGAUCAUUCUCUCUCGAGCAUUCAAUGAGAUUCCACGGUAAGUUGUGUGUUUUCUUGAUUAAUGUUCAUGUGUGCUUAGCCUUCUGUUGUGUAGUGCAGAUGGUUAGAGGUGGAUCUGCUGGUCGUGGUCGUGGUCGUGGGCGUGGUCGCGGUAGGGGGCGUGAUGUUGCCUCGGGUAGCGACACGAGUGUGGAUCGUCAAUGAAUUGAGCCAUCAACGACUCGUUGGACUCUUCUAACUCCAAGGAGUUCAUGAGCUUCUCAAACUCCUCAAAAUACUAAUCCACGGUCCUAGUUGAUGGUAACAAAUCUUUGUCUCCUCCUCUCGGCCACUUUACAAUCCCACCAAGACAAUGCAUUGUCAGUGAGUUGAGCCGACGCUAAAGCUACCUUUCGGGUUUCUCCAUAUCUAUAACAUUGGAAUAUGUAUUUCAUUCUUCUCUCCCAAUCCAUGUAGACCUCUGGAUUUGAUUUUCCUGCAAAAGUAGUAGGUGUUAGUUUAACAUCUCGGUUCUGUUCAUGGGUUUCCAUCUCUUCGAGCCUGAACUGGUCAGCUUUAGCUCUGGGCUGAGGCUGCUCCAAACAGCCUAUCCUUUCGCCUAACCCCUCCAAUUGCUUUGUUAGGGUUUGAAUCAUUUGCAGCAUGGCAUUUUGGGGUAUGGCUGCUUUUUCUCUUAUUUUAAGUGUCUAAAAGUAACUUACUAUUAGCAAAAACAACACAGAAAUCAACGUACCACAGAAAUCGAAAAAUGAAAACUUUAGAAACAAGAAAUUAACAAUCGCUGAUGCACUUGCUGAAUCAGACAAGAAAGUAAAAACUUUUUUUUUAAAAAAUAAGCUUUAAGAUACUUAAACAAUACAAGCUAACAAAGAUAAUGACACAAAAAAUUUAAAAGCGAAAUAAUAUAUAUUUUUUUACGUAAACUUUGAACUAAUACAGAAACUAAAAUCAAAGACUGAGGUAGGAGAUUUAAGGAAAAAUAAGUGACGAAAUUUUAUUUUUACUUUUUUUCUAAAGAGCUAAUAAAACUAAACAACUUGUAUAAACAAGACUGCGGCAAACUAGGGUCCUUAAUUUUUUUGUUUUUUUGAAACUUAAAUAAAACAAAACUAGAAAUCAAAACUAUAGAAAGAAAAUGGAAAAGAUCAACCUGGCAAGGGAAGAGCGUGAACUGUGCUCUGAUACCAAAUGAUACAAGACUCUGUGGUGAGCUUAUACUAGGAUAGAG